GGCUACCAUGCAGUCGAGGGGCAGCAUUUCAGUUUGCUUGCAAACUGGAGAUGGCGACCGGCGCACGGGUGAGUAACACGUAUCCAACCUGCCGAUAACUCGGGGAUAGCCUUUCGAAAGAAAGAUUAAUACCCGAUGGNAUAAUCAGACCGCAUGGUCUUAUUAUUAAAGAAUUUCGGUUAUCGAUGGGGAUGCGUUCCAUUAGGCAGUUGGUGAGGUAACGGCUCACCAAACCUUCGAUGGAUAGGGGUUCUGAGAGGAAGGUCCCCCACAUUGGAACUGAGACACGGUCCAAACUCCUACGGGAGGCAGCAGUGAGGAAUAUUGGUCAAUGGGCGCAGGCCUGAACCAGCCAAGUAGCGUGAAGGAUGACUGCCCUAUGGGUUGUAAACUUCUUUUAUAUGGGAAUAAAGUUUUCCACGUGUGGAAUUUUGUAUGUACCAUAUGAAUAAGGAUCGGCUAACUCCGUGCCAGCAGCCGCGGUAAUACGGAGGAUCCGAGCGUUAUCCGGAUUUAUUGGGUUUAAAGGGAGCGUAGGUGGACAGUUAAGUCAGUUGUGAAAGUUUGCGGCUCAACCGUAAAAUUGCAGUUGAUACUGGCUGUCUUGAGUACAGUAGAGGUGGGCGGAAUUCGUGGUGUAGCGGUGAAAUGCUUAGAUAUCACGAAGAACUCCGAUUGCGAAGGCAGCUCACUGGACUGCAACUGACACUGAUGCUCGAAAGUGUGGGUAUCAAACAGGAUUAGAUACCCUGGUAGUCCACACAGUAAACGAUGAAUACUCGCUGUUUGCGAUAUACAGUAAGCGGCCAAGCGAAAGCAUUAAGUAUUCCACCUGGGGAGUACGCCGGCAACGGUGAAACUCAAAGGAAUUGACGGGGGCCCGCACAAGCGGAGGAACAUGUGGUUUAAUUCGAUGAUACGCGAGGAACCUUACCCGGGCUUAAAUUGCAUUUGAAUANUNUGGAAACAGNNUAGCCGNAAGGCAAAUGUGAAGGUGCUGCAUGGUUGUCGUCAGCUCGUGCCGUGAGGUGUCGGCUUAAGUGCCAUAACGAGCGCAACCCUUAUCUUUAGUUACUAACAGGUCAUGCUGAGGACUCUAGAGAGACUGCCGUCGUAAGAUGUGAGGAAGGUGGGGAUGACGUCAAAUCAGCACGGCCCUUACGUCCGGGGCUACACACGUGUUACAAUGGGGGGUACAGAAGGCAGCUACCUGGUGACAGGAUGCUAAUCCCAAAAGCCUCUCUCAGUUCGGAUCGAAGUCUGCAACCCGACUUCGUGAAGCUGGAUUCGCUAGUAAUCGCGCAUCAGCCAUGGCGCGGUGAAUACGUUCCCGGGCCUUGUACACACCGCCCGUCAAGCCAUGAAAGCCGGGGGUACCUGAAGUACGUAACCGCAAGGAGCUCCUAGG
rnacentral:rRNA from 1 species